rnacentral:rRNA from 1 species
GAUGAACGCUGGCGGCGUGCCUAAUACAUGCAAGUCGAGCGAUAAGAUGAGGAGUUUGCCCCUCUGACGUUAGCGGCGGACGGGUGAGUAACAACUGGAUAAACUAUCUAUAAGACUGGGAUACAUUCGGGCACCCGUAGCUACUACCGGCUAAUAUCUUAAACCGCAUGGUUCCAUAGUGCACGCCGGUUUUGCUGUUACUUAUAGAUGGAUCCGCGCCUCAUUAGCUAGUUGGUGAGGUAACGGCUUACCAAGUCAACGAUACGUAACGGACAUGAGAGGAUGACCUGCCACAAUGGAACUGAGACACGGUCCAGACUCCUACGGGAGGCAGCAGUAGGGAAUCUUGCGCAAUGGGCGAAAGCCUGACGGAGCAACGCCGCGUGAGUGAUGAAGGUCUUCGGAUCGUAAAACUCUUUUAUUAGGAAAGAAAAAAUGUGUAAUAAACUAUGCACGUCGUGACGGUACCUAAACAGUAAGCCACGGCUAACUACGUG